UACGAAGGGGGCUAGCGUUGCUCGGAAUCACUGGGCGGAAAGGGCGAGUAGGCGGCGCGGGUAGUCAUCGGUGAAAGUUCAGGGCUCAACUCUGAAUCGGCCGGUGAUACUCCCGUGCUCGAGCACUGUAGAGGCAGGUGGAAUUCCGGGUGUAGCGGUGGAAUGCGUAGAGAUCCGGAAGAACACCGGUGGCGAAGGCGGCCUGCUGGGCAGUAGCUGACGCUGAUGCGCGACAGCGUGGGGAGCAAACAGG
rnacentral:rRNA from 1 species